UGUGUGUGUGUGAGGGCUGUAAGACAAGAGCUGGUCUAGAGGUUUACACAGAGUAAGCUUAGUUUGGGUUUUUUUGGUAUUAUUUUUUGUUGAUUUGUGUUUGUGUUUUGGGCCUGAGGGUGACUUGCAGUGGUUCACGGUGUGUUCUGAGUGUCGUGUAGUGUUUCACAGGAUUGUAGUGGUGAUUGGCACUCUAAAUGAGCACUUAACACGAACCUUUUCUACCUCACAUGUGUAGCAUAAUCACUAAUUAAUCACCGGUGCGUAGUACUAUGCCACUCCUCUCCCUAGGUUGUUCCCAUCACAUUGUUCCUAUUUAUACCCGAGUUCACAAGCUGACGGCAGUACUGUCUAACACUGGGUGUCCGUGCAUUAAGAUGAGAGGGUUGCUUGGUGACUGCAGGCCAUUGACCCUGACCAAGCUGUGCCUCGGGUGACUUCAGAGAACUAGAAGACGGCUUGCCUGGCCGUGUCCCGAGGGAACGGGACUGACGCGCACGGUGCUGAAACAAUACGGACCUACCUGGACACCCCAGACAGACCCUUGAACUUUUAGAUCAACUUAAAGUGUAUUUUAAUGUUUUAUAUCUCUUGUCAAUUCCCUUGAGUAGCUUUAAAUAAAUCUAUUUUCCUAUU